GCCUAGCGAUAUGAUCUCGAGUUUGGUUUAUUAAAAUUUCUUAUCAUAUACUUUUAUGUUUGGGUUAAUAUAAGUUUCCUAGCGAAUUGAUUUUGGACUUACAAAUUAUUAAAUCGAUUCUUAUGCUGACACAUAAGGUAAAUUGACAUUUUAAUUAAAUGACACCUAAGCAAGCCUCUUUUCUAAUUAGAAACUCAAGGUUACAAAUUUUUAAAUAUUUCUCAAUUAAUAUAUAAGAGAUAAUUUUUUAAAUAUUUUUUUUUUUGAAAAUUUAAAACUUCCACCAUUAUACUUAUUGCAGUUUUCAUCAUUUUCAAAGUUUCUAUAAGUUACAAUUAUAUUCAAAUCUAAAGUAAAACUUAUAGAUUCUUUUUUAAUUUUAUUUUGGGUUCUAAUUAAUUUCUAGUAGAGAUAAUUUUGUUUUUCAUUUCAUGUAUUCUUUAAGAUUUUAAUACAAUGGAAGAUAAUUCAAGUCUUUCACUUUCUAACCUUAAAAUUAUGAGUGUUUUAAUUGGCACUUUCUAUUGAAUUUAUAUAACUAUGUUCCAAAUAGUUUAUUCAUAGGUAUAAAAUUAAUUAUGAUGUUAUUCUUAAUAAAAUUAUUAAAUAUGAUUGAAACCGGUUAGACCACAAUAAAUUAUGAAUCAAAAUCUUUUUCUAGUUCAGUAUCCGGUCCGGUUUUUUAUCAAAAUCAAAACUAUCGUAUCUACACUUUACUUAAUGGAACAGACCCCAUGCCAAAUAUAAUGGACUCACAAUAUUUUGACAUUAACGUCAUAUACUAAGUUCGUUCUAAUUAUUCAAAAUAAUGUUACGUACAAUAUUUAUUGUAUAUUUAUACUAUAAAAAAAAGAGUUUUAAUCUCUUCUCAUCGAGCCACGUCACGGAGAAAUAGGAAUCACCACGUGUCAUGCCAUAAAUCUUCUUCGGCUGUUUCGGUAAUGUGUUCUAAUGACUUUGGGCUUAGAAACAUUUGUUUCAUGGGCUGUUAACAUAGAUUUGGUCUGAGCCCAGUAAGUUGUCGUAUUUUUUUCUCUUUCACAGGAAAGUCCGACAAUGGAGCUCCUUCUUUGGUGGUGUCCGUCUUCUUCUGCGUCGAUUAGCUAGCAACUCUUCUCAUCUUCUUCUGAGAACUCGCACAGUUACGUAACUCCACUGCAUCCAUUCAUUAUCAUUAAAUUUACAAUUAACGCCAUCUCCCCAUUCAUUCCACGAUUUGACAAUCAAUAUGUCCCUUUUACCUUCCAGUCGGUGAAGCUGCAGAUAAACUCUUGCUGGAGGAUUAACUGCGCGGACCAACCAGGAUCGUAUUUAUAUCUCUUCGAAGACGGUUUAGUCAUCAUGUACUAAACUCGGUAAAACCAAGCUAGAUUCUUUCUUUACUUUUUUUUUCACCGUAAUCUAGUUCUUCUUUGUGAUUUUAACACCAUCAUUUCUGUAACAUCCGGAGUUGUGAUAUAUGAAAAGGCUUAAGGGAUUGAUCUGGCUACUUAUGUCACCAAAGUUGACUUACCUUUUCCGGAGCACAUCCUGAAAGAACUCCAGAGUUAAGCGUGCUUGAGCUUGAGUAGUGGAAGGAUGGGUGACCUAUCGGGAAGUGAUUCGUGAUAGCGUGCGAGUGAGACCAAAGCACGGAGAAAGGUUGGAUGGUGAUUGCAGGGUCGGUAAACAAUGAUUCGAGCCUUCAGAAAUUAACGGAUCGACCGUCGGAUGGGAUGGGGCCCACGGGCCGAGAGAGCGGGCGUGGGUGGCCCAUUAGCCGUGGACGGGUCGGGGUGUUAUAAGUGGUAUCAGAGCCAGGUUAGCCAUCUCGGUUCUGACCCGAGAGGAGUUUGCAGAAAAUAGAAAGCGUCCGUUUGGGGCCUAAGGUUGUUGUUUGAAACAAUAUUUGAAGGAUGAUCAAUAUCGUAAACAGUCCUCUGUCUCUGUAGAGCAUGAUCAAUAUGCUAAAGUAAGAAACCGGGAAGGAUGAUAUAGAAGGGGGGAAUAUCCGAAGGACUCACUAAAAUGUGUUUGGAGAAAUAAAAAGAAAGGUAUUUAUCUUACUGGUAUUCAGACUGAUGAACUUCAGAAGCAGGGACAAGCCUAUCGAGCAUUCAGCGAUUGUAUACAUAUCAUACUUUCUGGGACAAAGAGGUAAGAAUAUCACAAAAGAACUGGUUUUAGGUGUGAGAGAGUUUGGUGAGUAUGAAUGUUAAGCCAGCAAUCUGGGCUGUAUCACAGCGAUAGUAGUACGGAUGCUCCAUUCCUAUGGUGAAAUGAAUUUCAGAUUAAGUUGUUUAAGUAUUCCGAAGUUGUUGAAUCAGUUUGUACGCUUUGUUUUCAUUUGAAAUAAAUAAAUACAGUUUUUACUUCU